rnacentral:rRNA from 1 species
AAAGGAAUUGACGGGAGCCCGCACAAGCAGUGGAGUAUGUGGUUUAAUUCGAUGCAACGCGAAGAACCUUACCAGGACUUGACAUCCCGAGAAGGCUGCGUAAUGGCGGCUGUGCCCCUUCGGGGGAAUUCGGAGACAGGUGGUGCAUGGUUGUCGUCAGCUCGUGUCGUGAGAUGUUGGGUUAAGUCCCGCAACGAGCGCAACCCUUACGGUUAGUUGCUACGAAAGAGCACUCUAGCCGGACUGCCGUUGACAAAACGGAGGAAGGUGGGGACGACGUCAAAUCAUCAUGCCCCUUACGUUCUGGGCUACACACGUACUACAAUGGCGUUUAACAACGGGCUGCGAAGGCGCGAGCCGGAGCUAAUCUCAAAAAAACGUCUCAGUUCAGACUGCAGGCUGCAACUCGCCUGCACGAAGUCGGAAUUGCUAGUAAUCGCGGAUCAGCAUGCCGCGGUGAAUACGUUCCCGGGCUUUGUACACACCGCCCGU